rnacentral:rRNA from 1 species
AAUGAACGUUGGCGGCGUGGAUUAGGCAUGCAAGUCGCGCGAGAACUGUAGCAAUACAGGGAAAGCGGCGUAAGGGACAGUAAUACCUAGAAACGUACCCCCGGGUCUGGGAUAGCGGCGGGAAACUGCCGGUAAUACCAGAUAACGUCUCCGGACCAAAGGUGUGAUUCCACCUGGGGAGCGGUCUAGGCCCUAUUAGCUUGUUGGUGGGGUAACGGCCUACCAAGGCAAAGGUGGGUAGCAGGUGUGAGAGCACGACCUGCGUCACUGGGACUGAGACACUGCCCAGACACCUACGGGCGGCUGCAGUCGAGAAUCUUCGGCAAUGGGCGCAAGCCUGACCGAGCGACGCCGCGUGCGGGAUGAAGGCCUUCGGGUUGUAAACCGCUGUCGAAGGGGAUGAAAUUCCGGAGGGUUCUCUCUCCGGAUUGACAGAUCCUUGGAGGAAGGACGGGCUAAGUUCGUGCCAGCCGCCGCGGUAAAAC